CGGUCGUAGGGGAGACGCCGCCGUGGUUGCCACCAUCCCGGGGCUUUCUGGCUCUUUUCUCUUCGCCUUAAAUUCGGGUGUCUUUUAUGAAUAAUCAAAAGCAGCAAAAACCAACGCUAUCGGGCCAGCGUUUUAAAACCAGAAAAAGAGAUGAAAAAGAGAGAUUUGACCCUACUCAGUUUCAAGACUGUAUUAUCCAAGGCUUAACUGAAACUGGUACUGAUUUAGAAGCAGUAGCUAAGUUUCUGGAUGCUUCUGGAGCAAAGCUUGACUACCGCCGAUAUGCAGAAACCCUGUUUGAUAUCCUGGUUGCUGGUGGGAUGCUGGCCCCGGGUGGCACCCUGGCCAAUGACAUGAUGCGCACAGACGUCUGCGUGUUUGCAGCUCAGGAGGACCUGGAGACCAUGCAGGCGUUCGCUCAAGUUUUUAACAAGCUAAUCAGGCGCUACAAAUAUCUGGAGAAAGGUUUUGAAGAUGAGGUGAAAAAGCUGCUGCUGUUCUUGAAGGGUUUCUCAGAGUCGGAGAGGAACAAGCUGGCCAUGCUGACUGGUGUGCUUCUGGCCAACGGGACGCUCAACGCUUCCAUCCUCAACAGCCUCUACAAUGAGAAUCUGGUGAAAGAAGGGGUUUCCGCAGCCAUUACAUUUGACAUCGUUCACCUUGUAGGACGCUCCUAUGAAGGGAUUCCGCUCACAAUAAUUCCAGCCAGUCUACUCAUCCACCUUUCUAUCUAG